CGUUGCGCGAACGGUGUGCGAAUGUCGUACGUCGUCCUGUCCUGCGAGAAGGAAGCGAAAGGGAACUCUCGCGCGGCGCGAUAAAACGACGACGACGGUGGCGAUGGUGGCGGCGAAGGCGGCAGCGCCGCACUACUCUCGACGCUAGCCGGCUGCCGGGCGCUAAAUUGGUUUGUGUGUUUUUAUGACUGUGUUUUAGUACCGAGGCCGAGCGCGCGCUCGCCGUCAGGAUUGCCAUUGGGUUAACAGGAGCAGGACUCAGGCGCGUCACGUAACAACCACCCUCUAUCGCGCGAGCGCCCGCCGCCCGGCCGUAACAAAGCGGCGCGGCAGUGGCGGCGGCCCGACCGAAACACACAAAGAACCGAAUUAUCGGGAGGCCGCAAGAAGAACCCACCCGGCUUCCUGCAAGUGUACACACAGCGAGAGCGGCGGAAGCCAGGAGAGAGGACGAAGAGGACGCGGAGGAAAAUCAAUUUCCAAACGCCUCGCGUAGUUACAACUCCGGCAGCAAGGACUAUUUCAACCUCCAGCGCCCCCCGUUCCGCGUCUGGUCGGCCAUUGCUUUCGGUGAGGUGGGCGCCUACGUGUUCCAAUAUUGAAGGGUCGCAAUUGCGUCGCUGCGUCGCCUAUAAACGUGCGAAUUUCGUUAUAAAUCAAAAGUAUACUAUUAUUGGCAGCGGAGAGUGCGCGCGCGAUACGCACGCAGCUCGUUCGGCGCACGCGGCGCGUCACCUAUUAUAAAAGGUUUUAUUUGGGCUUUUAAUUCGUUUAAUUAAAUUAGGGCCAGGGCCUAGUCUCGGUUUGAUGUGUUUGAAUUACGAGCCAGCUGGAAGUAAGAAAUUUGUGUCAGUAAUGUCUUGCAAUGAGAGUUGUACCGGAAGCUAGGGGUUCGGGGUAGAUAUUUACAGGGAAACAGAAGAGACAGAUUACAAUUUACAGAAGGCAACCAACAUUACAUCAAAUAAAAGUAAAAAAUACCCUUGGCAGAGGAACAAUAUAACAAUAAUCACAACAUAAAGCUAUUAACAAUGUGCUUUUAAUUGUUUGGUAGAAAAAAUAUUUAAGAGAAAACAAGAAAAUGACAAAUUAAAGGUGGCAACCCACAUUACACCAAAGAAACUUGAAAAUGCUUCAUGAAGGUGCAAUAUAUCUAUAAAUAUGCAGUAAACUUAUUAAUAACGUAGUUAUUCAUGGUAAAUUACAUGUUAAAGCUUAC